rnacentral:tRNA from 1 species
GCCAGGGUAGCUCAAUGGCAGAGCGGUUGCUUCGUAAGCAAUAGGUUGAGGGUUCGAAUCCCUCCUCUGGCU